GCUGGCGUAGCUUAAUUAAAGCAUAA
rnacentral:tRNA from 1 species